rnacentral:rRNA from 1 species
GUGGGGAAUAUUGGACAAUGGGCGCAAGCCUGAUCCAGCAAUGCCGCGUGGGUGAAGAAGGUCUUCGGAUCGUAAAGCCCUUUCGACAGGGACGAUGAUGACGGUACCUGUAGAAGAAGCCCCGGCUAACUUCGUGCCAGCAGCCGCGGUAAUACGAAGGAGGCUAGCGUUACUCGGAAUUACUGGGCGUAAAGGGCGCGUAGGCGGCUCUGUUAGUCAGGCGUGAAAUUCCUGGGCUUAACCUGGGGACUGCGCUUGAUACUGCAGGGCUUGAGGCCGAGAGAGGGUGGUGGAAUUCCCAGUGUAGAGGUGAAAUUCGUAGAUAUUGGGAAGAACACCGGUGGCGAAGGCGACCACCUGGCUCGGUUCUGACGCUGAGGCGCGACAGCGUGGGGAGCAAACAGGAUUAGAAACCCCAGUAGUCC